AGACUUUGAUUAUGGCUCAGAACGAACGCUGGCGGCAGGCCUAACACAUGCAAGUCGGACGAGAAGGUUCCUUCGGGAACUGGAGAGUGGCGCACGGGUGAGUAACGCGUGGGGACCUACCUCUUAGUGGGGGAUAACGGUUGGAAACGACCGCUAAUACCGCAUACGCCCUUCGGGGGAAAGAUUUAUCGCUAAGAGAUGGACCCGCGUUGGAUUAGAUAGUUGGUGAGGUAACGGCUCACCAAGUCAGCGAUCCAUAGCUGGUUUGAGAGGAUGAUCAGCCACACUGGGACUGAGACACGGCCCAGACUCCUACGGGAGGCAGCAGUGGGGAAUAUUGGACAAUGGGGGCAACCCUGAUCCAGCCAUGCCGCGUGAGUGAAGAAGGCCUUCGGGUUGUAAAGCUCUUUCAGAUGCGAAGAUGAUGACGGUAACAUCAGAAGAAGCCCCGGCUAAUUUCGUGCCAGCAGCCGCGGUAAUACGAAAGGGGCUAGCGUUGUUCGGAUUUACUGGGCGUAAAGGGCACGCAGGCGGUCUUGCCAGUCAGGGGUGAAAGCCCGGGGCUCAACCUCGGAACUGCCUCUGAUACUGCAAGACUUGAGACUAGGAGAGGGUGGUGGAAUUCCCAGUGUA
rnacentral:rRNA from 1 species